CCUACGGGACGCAGCAGUGGGGAAUAUUGGACAAUGGGGGGAACCCUGAUCCAGCCAUGCCGCGUGUGUGAAGAAGGCCUUUUGGUUGUAAAGCACUUUAAGCGAGGAGGAGGCUACUAGUAUUAAUACUACUGGAUAGUGGACGUUACUCGCAGAAUAAGCACCGGCUAACUCUGUGCCAGCAGCCGCGGUAAUACAGAGGGUGCGAGCGUUAAUCGGAUUUACUGGGCGUAAAGCGUGCGUAGGCGGCUGAUUAAGUCGGAUGUGAAAUCCCUGAGCUUAACUUAGGAAUUGCAUUCGAUACUGGUCAGCUAGAGUAUGGGAGAGGAUGGUAGAAUUCCAGGUGUAGCGGUGAAAUGCGUAGAGAUCUGGAGGAAUACCGAUGGCGAAGGCAGCCAUCUGGCCUAAUACUGACGCUGAGGUACGAAAGCAUGGGGAGCAAACAGGAUUAGAUACCCUCGUAGUC
rnacentral:rRNA from 1 species